UUUAUACUCCCUCCGUCCGGAAAUACUUGUCGUCAAAAUAAAUAAAAGGAGAUGUAUUUAGAUGUAUUUUAGUUCUAGAUACAACCGUUUUUUUUUCAUUUUGAUGACUAGUAUUUUCUAACGGAGGGAGUACGUU
rfam:Triticum aestivum genome assembly, contig: Triticum_aestivum_CS42_TGACv1_scaffold_221252_3B